UGUAAAAUAAGAAUUUUUUUAAAUGAAAAACGCUGUAUAUCAAGCCAUCCCUUUGGAACAACUAGAGGGAAAAUGUGUAUUGAUAUUUCAAAAAUAAUAAUUUAACAUCACAAUUCCUGUCUAAAUCAAAAUUUCAUCUGAUUUGGGGAAUUCUUGUGAAUGGAUUUGAAGAGUCAAAUCAGAAAUAAAACAUCACAUGAGUAUCUUAUUUGGUUCUUUGAAAUUGUCUUCUCACCUCUCACCAUAGUGAGCAACAAGUUUAAACUCUGGGACUGUCGGAUGUGUGAACAGGAGGAGAGGGUGAGUUCACCAAUAUGAUAAAAUCAGCAGAGGGAGCACCAAACAUUCUAAUUCCAUCAAUCCUUCAAAAAUAUAUUUGAAAGAUUUCUAUUACAGUACACUUCAAACUAUAUCAACCAGAGAUGCAUUAAAACAAUUUUUGGAAAACAUUUUUUAGUUGUAAAUGGAUCUUUUAUUUUAUUUAUUUAUUAAUGCAUAUGCGGUGCUGAAGAUUGAACCCAGGGCCUCACACAUGCCAGGCAAGUGCUCUACCACUGAGCCACAACCCAGCCCCAGCCCCAGCAUUAAAACAAUUUUCAUGUGAUUGAGUAUUUUCAAAUUAUAAUAAUGAAUAAAAUCCAUGAGAUUUUAUCUACAACAGUGUUUCUGUGGGUCAUGUUCUAUUUAGAAAUCCAAUAUGCUGUAUUAAAUUGAUCAAUGACCCUUUGCGUCACUUGGCUCCAAAAUACAUCAAUGUUUUUCUCUAAGUAUUAAAUUAAUAUUAAAUAAAUA